rnacentral:rRNA from 1 species
UACGGAGGGGGCUAGCGUUAUUCGGAAUUACUGGGCGUAAAGCGCACGUAGGCGGAUCAGAAAGUCAGAGGUGAAAUCCCAGGGCUCAACCUUGGAACUGCCUUUGAAACUUCUGGUCUUGAGUUCGAGAGAGGUGAGUGGAAUUCCGAGUUUAGAGGUGAAAUUCGUAGAUAUUCGGAGGAACCCCAGUGGCGAAGGCGGCCAUCUGGACCAGCACUCACACUGAGGCACGAAAGCGUGGGGAGCAAACAGG